CAGCAGCCGCGGGAAUACGUAGGGUGCGAGCGUUAAUCGGAAUUACUGGGCGUAAAGCGUGCGCAGGCGGUUUUGUAAGACAGGCGUGAAAUCCCCGGGCUCAACCUGGGAAUGGCGCUUGUGACUGCAAAGCUAGAGUGCGGCAGAGGGGGAUGGAAUUCCGCGUGUAGCAGUGAAAUGCGUAGAUAUGCGGAGGAACACCGAUGGCGAAGGCAAUCCCCUGGGCCUGCACUGACGCUCAUGCACGAAAGCGUGGGGAGCAAACAGGAUUAGAUACCCCGGUAGUCCCUGUCUCUUAUAC
rnacentral:rRNA from 1 species